CCAAUAUGACGCAGGAAAAGAGCCCUGAAACCUCAUGUGGCAUUACUGAAGGCAGGUGUGCUGCAGGGUGCUGGAGUUGUAGAGCUCCUGUGUGCACCAGGUGUCUUUCACCCACUGCCCGCUGGAAAGGAACCCUCUGCUGCCUGGUCAGUAGGUGGACAACUGUUGAAGACACCAAAAUGGUAACACAGACUUGGAACAUGUACUGUGAGCCUGUGAGAACCUUGUCCUCUGCUCUUCAGCUGAUUCCAAGCCUUGCUUGCAAGCCCAGCUACAUCUGCCAGCCAGCCUCGCAUUGCUGCAACUCAUGCAUAACAAGAGGACUGAAUCAAACAGUCUGUUCUGGACUCUCUGACAGAAGAACACAGAAUGGAGAGCAAACUCUUCUAGUUCUUAGGCCGGAAAGUGCAGCAAUCAAAGCUGAAACAUCAGAGAAGACAGAAAUCAAAGUCUCUUACAAUCUUUAAGGUGAAGUUGACAUGUGUCUUAUUUAGCCUAUGUAGAGAAAGAAAACUAUGCCUGCAUUAUUUGAAUGCAUGCUAUUAGAGGUAAAACAUUCAUCAGCUGCUUUGUUUAAAGAUGCUAUUAGCAUUUUGAUAAUUAGAUGUAUUAUUCCACAAAGCUGAUCAUGCCGCUUUAUAUUCCUAGAGAAAAAUACUGAGAUGGACAUGAAAAGUUAUACACUGGCUGGCAAACGAGAAUGAGCAUGGGAUGAAGCUAAAGGUGAGAAAAAACAAAGCUGAUGAAAAAGAGUCAGGAAAAUUGUUCAUACUGACUUCCAGAUGACUAUAAUCUGUGAUUCCUGAGUCUUCCUAUCCCUAGUGAACAGAUUGCUA
rnacentral:lncRNA from 12 species